CAGUCGCCGCGGUAAUACGAGGGGAGCUAGCGUUGUUCGGAAUUACUGGGCGUAAAGCGCGCGUAGGCGGCUUUUUAAGUCAGAGGUGAAAGCCCGGGGCUCAACCCCGGAAUUGCCUUUGAAACUGGAAAGCUAGAAUCUUGGAGAGGUCAGUGGAAUUCCGAGUGUAGAGGUGAAAUUCGUAGAUAUUCGGAAGAACACCAGUGGCGAAGGCGACUGACUGGACAAGUAUUGACGCUGAGGUGCGAAAGCGUGGGGAGCAAACAGGAUUAGAUACCCCGGUAGUCCCUGUCUCUUAUAC
rnacentral:rRNA from 1 species